UAGUUAUUAACACAAACGACGCAUUUCACUGUGUGUUUCAAUGUACGUGAGAAACAAACGCGAAUCUGUCAGAAGAGCUGCUUUCCUUUUUCUGCACUGGGAACUGUGAAUCUGAAAAGAACAAAGGACCUUGCGGAAAAUCCUGGCAGUUCUGGACAAAGUUUCUCACCCUCCGCAUGCCACCUUGGCUGAACAGAGGAGUACUUUCAGUAAUAGGCUAAGGCAAAUGCAUUGCUCCAAGGUGCACUAUAUGAGGACAUUCUUACCCUUGGCCAUUAGGCUUUAUAAUGAGUCAACCUAUAGCCAGGGAUGUGCUGAUCCCUCCUGUUGGACUGUUUGAGACAGAACUAAGGGUCAAGUCUACCAGAAUCAUUACUGAGAGAUGAAGACCAGCCUGCUGCAUCACAGCUGAUGACACCUGAUCGACCCACAAAUGAAAGAGAAUGGAAAUGCUAAUGAGGAAGACUGAGAGAGAGAGUGUCAGUGAACUGUGAAUAAACUUUAAAGUUUAAUGAUAACUAUACUCUGUAAUGAAGGCUGGUUCUUGGAGUAGAUGUUUAUUGUAUAGAUUAGAAUAGAAAGAUAUUGGGGAAAAUAGAUGGGAAGGAAUCCAGAUUAAGUUCCAUCAGGUUCCAGAACUUCGAUAGCAAGACAGGCUGAGAAAGAGAGAAGAAAUCACACACAGUAUUGGAAGGCAGGAGCCCCAGCUGAACGGGGAGUGAACACAAAUAAGCCGGGCCCUUUUGGUGGCUGGGCCAGUGAUCGGAAGGACAAUCUGGGAGGGGGUGCUACCAGGGCAAGGUCCUUGCAGCAACUCAGAUAGAGAAGUCGCAAACGCUCCUGUAGAUCCAUCAAAAAGACUAGUUGCCAAAUCAUUCUGAUAACCUUCUGUCAUGACAUGGAAUGUGAACCAUUGUCUGUGAACCUGGAAGUUCAUCCAGAGUAACUACUGACAGACACUACUGAUAGUUCUAGCUAUAAGAGAACGGAGGGGUGAAGAGGAUGCGAUCACAUUUCUGGAAUGUUUUAUUGUCAUUCUGCUCCCUCGUGAAGAUAGCCAAUGAAGGAUAUUAGAUCACGUACAGUAGAUAUGUGUUAGCAACUGCAGAAUCGCAGAUGGGAUCUAAAGUAAAUGACACUUUCACUGCCCUGCUUAAUCCGAUUUCUGUCCAGGAGCCAAGUGGAAGGUAUGUUCAGAAGUAUUUUGGAGUUAUUUGAAUAUAGUAGAUAUUAAUUCAAGCAAGACACCAUCUUCAGAUCUUAUUGUAAAUGUAAAUAAGUCAAAGAAACUUGCAAAUCGUCUUCAGUUCUUUCUGUAACUUGCAAGCAAUAAAUUAAAGUUAAACUAGCCCACAGCCUAAGAUUAAAAAUGCAAGAGCCAAACAUUAAAACAAUGGGAUUAUAUUAAUCGGAUUGAGUCAAACCAGGCAAAAUGGCUAAUUUAUUCGCACCAAUGUGACUUGAGUUCAAACUGACAGAUCAGACAAAUGUCAGCAUUUAGCAUAUCAAACAUGGUCACAGGUAGAGGUAAUCAAUAGUUUUUGUGCAUUUAUCAUAUUUGUGUACUCAGAGAAAGCCCUGACAACAUUAAUUUUGGUUGUCUGACUCUUUGGGUCAACAGAUUGUAGAGAAUUUGUGUUAAUUAGUUUCUCCCAAAGGCACUUGGACCUUCAGCAGUGUCUUAUCAAUUGUAAUGUGCUUCUACUAUCUGUCUCAAAGGAACCAUUUGUUAACCCAAACUAUUGAAGUAAACAAUGUCAUUGUAACCAUUGAAAUUGUAUUAAAUCACUGAAUGUUAACUUUGGUCUUAAGGGUAUAAAAACGUGAUGUACCUUUGAGUUUGUGAGACUUUACCGAAAUGUCUCUGGAAGC